AUUGAACGCUGGCGGCAUGCCUUACACAUGCAAGUCGAACGGCAGCACGGGAGCAAUCCUGGUGGCGAGUGGCGAACGGGUGAGUAAUAUAUCGGAACGUGCCCGGUAGUGGGGGAUAACCCGGCGAAAGUCGGACUAAUACCGCAUACGACCUACGGGUGAAAGCGGGGGAUCGCAAGACCUCGCGCUAUUGGAGCGGCCGAUAUCAGAUUAGCUAGUUGGUGGGGUAAAAGCCUACCAAGGCAACGAUCUGUAGCUGGUCUGAGAGGACGACCAGCCACACUGGGACUGAGACACGGCCCAGACUCCUACGGGAGGCUG
rnacentral:rRNA from 1 species